GACGAACGCUGGCGGCGUGCCUAAUACAUGCAAGUCGAACGCAGGGGGGACGGGUGAGUAACACGUGGGUAACCUCCCAUCAGAGGGGAUAACACUUGGAAACAGGUGCUAAACCGAUACUGAUGGAUGGACCCGCGGUUCAUUAGCUAGUUGGUGAGGUAACUGCUCACCAAGCCCACGAUGCAUAGCGGACCGGAGAGGGUGACCGGCCACACUGGGACGUAGACACGGCCCAGACUCCUACGGGAGGCAGCAUUAGGGAAUCUUCGGCAAUGGGCGAAAGGCUGACCGGGAAACGCCGGGGGAGUGAAGAAGGUUUUCGGAUCGUAAAACUCUGUUGUUAGAGAAGCGGUAUCUAACCAGAAAGCCACGGCUAACUACGUGCCAGCAGCCGCGGUAAUAC
rnacentral:rRNA from 1 species